UACGUAGGGUGCAAGCGUUAAUCGGAAUUACUGGGCGUAAAGCGUGCGCAGGCGGCUUUGCAAGACAGAUGUGAAAUCCCCCGGGCUUAACCUGGGAACUGCAUUUGUGACUGCAAGGCUGGAGUGCGGCAGAGGGGGAUGGAAUUCCGCGUGUAGCAGUGAAAUGCGUAGAUAUGCGGAGGAACACCGAUGGCGAAGGCAAUCCCCUGGGCCUGCACUGACGCUCAUGCACGAAAGCGUGGGGAGCAAACAGG
rnacentral:rRNA from 1 species